rnacentral:rRNA from 1 species
GAUGAACGCUGACAGAAUGCUUAACACAUGCAAGUCUACCAAGAAUCACUUCGGUGAGGAAUGGCGGCGGACGGGUGAGUAACGCGUAAAUAAUCUGCCCUUUAGACUGGGAUAUCCUUUGGAAACGAAGGUUAAUACCGGAUAUUAUGAGAUGGACGCAUGUUCAACUUAUGAAAGCUAAAUGCACUAGAGGAGGAGUUUGCGUCCCAUUAGCUAGUUGGUGAGGUAAAGGCUCACCAAGGCCACGAUGGGUAGCCGGCCUGAGAGGGUGAACGGCCACAAUGGAACUGAGACACGGUCCUUACUCCUACUGGAGGCAGCAGUGGAGAAUAUUGGACAAUGGACCAAAAGUCUGAUCCAGCAAUUCUGUGUGAACGAUGAAGGUCUUCGGAUUGUAAAGUGCUUUCAGUAGGGAAGAAAAAAAUGACGGUACCUACAGAAGAAGCGACGGCUAAAUAUGUGCCAGCAGCCGCGGUAA